GUUUUUAUAGUUGAAUAACAACAUCAAUUUUUCGUAUUGGGGGUUCUAGUUGUCUAGAUAAAAUUA
rnacentral:tRNA from 1 species